rnacentral:rRNA from 1 species
GACGAACGCUGGCGGCGUGCCUAAUACAUGCAAGUCGAGCGCAGGAAACUGACGGAACUCUUCGGAGGGAAGGCAGUGGAAUGAGCGGCGGACGGGUGAGUAACACGUAAGGAACCUGCCUCAAGGAUUGGGAUAACUCCGAGAAAUCGGAGCUAAUACCGGAUAGUUCAUCGGACCGCAUGGUCCGUUGAUGAAAGGCGCUUCGGCGUCACCUUGAGAUGGCCUUGCGGUGCAUUAGCUAGUUGGUGGGGCAAUGGCCCACCAAGGCGACGAUGCAUAGCCGACCUGAGAGGGUGAUCGGCCACACUGGGACUGAGACACGGCCCAGACUCCUACGGGAGGCAGCAGUAGGGAAUCUUCCACAAUGGACGAAAGUCUGAUGGAGCAACGCCGCGUGAGUGAUGAAGGUUUUCGGAUCGUAAAACUCUGUUGUAAGGGAAGAACACGUACGAGAGGAAAUGCUCGUACCUUGACGGUACCUUACGAGAAAGCCACGGCUAACUACGUGCCAGCCGCCGCAGUAAAAC